rnacentral:rRNA from 1 species
UGUGAACGUUACCAAACUGUUGCCUCGGCGGGAUCUCUGCCCCGGGUGCGUCGCAGCCCCGGACCAAGGCGCCCGCCGGAGGACCAACCAAAACUCUUUUUGUAUACCCCCUCGCGGGUUUUUUAUAAUCUGAGCCUUCUCGGCGCCUCUCGUAGGCGUUUCGAAAAUGAAUCAAAACUUUCAACAACGGAUCUCUUGGUUCUGGCAUCGAUGAAGAACGCAGCGAAAUGCGAUAAGUAAUGUGAAUUGCAGAAUUCAGUGAAUCAUCGAAUCUUUGAACGCACAUUGCGCCCGCCAGUAUUCUGGCGGGCAUGCCUGUCCGAGCGUCAUUUCAACCCUCGAACCCCUCCGGGGGGUCGGCGUUGGGGAUCGGCCCUCCCUUAGCGGGUGGCCGUCUCCGAAAUACAGUGGCGGUCUCGCCGCAGCCUCUCCUGCGCAGUAGUUUGCACACUCGCAUCGGGAGCGCGGCGCGUCCACAGCCGUUAAACACCCAACUUCUGAAAUGUUGACCUCGGAUCAGGUAGGAAUACCCGCUGAACUUAAGCAUAU